CUACGGAGGGUGCAAGCGUUAUCCGGAAUCAUUGGGUUUAAAGGGUCCGUAGGCGGACUAUUAAGUCAGAGGUGAAAUCCCACAGCUCAACUGUGGAACUGCCUUUGAUACUGGUAGUCUUGAGUUAUGUGGAAGUAGAUAGAAUGUGUAGUGUAGCGGUGAAAUGCAUAGAUAUUACACAGAAUACCGAUUGCGAAGGCAGUCUACUACGUAUAUACUGACGCUAAGGGACGAAAGCGUGGGGAGCAAACAGGAUUAGAAACCCUAGUAGUCC
rnacentral:rRNA from 1 species